rnacentral:rRNA from 1 species
AUUGAACGCUAGCGGGAUGCUUUACACAUGCAAGUCGAACGGCAGCGCGGACUUCGGUCUGGCGGCGAGUGGCGAACGGGUGAGUAAUGUAUCGGAACGUGCCCAGCAGCGGGGGAUAACUACGCGAAAGCGUAGCUAAUACCGCAUACGCCCUACGGGGGAAAGCAGGGGAUCGUAAGACCUUGCCCGAUUUGAGCGGCCGAUAUCGGAUUAGCUAGUUGGUGAGGUAACGGCUCACCAAGGCGACGAUCCGUAGCUGGUUUGAGAGGACGACCAGCCACACUGGGACUGAGACACGGCCCAGACUCCUACGGGAGGCAGCAGUGGGGAAUUUUGGGCAAUGGGGGCAAACCUGAUCCAGCCAUCCCGCGUGUGCGAUGAAGGCCUUCGGGUUGUAAAGCACUUUUGGCAGGAAAGAAACGUCGCGGGCUAAUACCCCGUGGAACUGACGGUACCUGCAGAAUAAGCACCGGCUAACUACGUG